GACAGAGGUGCCGAGCGUUAGGCGGAAUCACUGGGCUUAAAGCGUGUGUAGGCGGGCCGUUAAGUAUCUUGUGAAAUCCCCCGGCUCAACCGGGGAAUGGCUGGAUAUACUGGCGGUCUUGAGCAAUUCAGGGGCAGAUGGAACAGACGGUGGAGCGGUGAAAUGCGUAGAUAUCUGGAGGAACACCGGUGGCGAAGGCGGCAUCCUGGACCAUUACUGACGCUGAGGAGCGAAAGCCAGGGGAGCAAACGGG
rnacentral:rRNA from 1 species